UACAGAGGUCUCAAGCGUUGUUCGAGAUUCAUUGGGCGUAAAGGGUGCGUAGGUGGCGCGCUAAGUCAGGUGUGAAAUUUCGGAGCUUAACUCCGAAACUGCAUUUGAUACUGGCGUGCUUGAGGACUGGAGAGGAGACUGGAAUUCAUGGUGUAGCAGUGAAAUGCGUAGAGAUCAUGAGGAAGACCAGUGGCGAAGGCGGGUCUCUGGACAGUUCCUGACACUGAUGCGCGACAGCGUGGGGAGCAAACAGG
rnacentral:rRNA from 1 species